UUUAGAAAUAGCAUCUACCUCUCAAUCAGUUAUUUUAGGGUCUACACACCAUGAGCUGUCACCGGGAACCUCCUGAACUUCUGGGGUGACUGAAGGUGUCCAGCAAGGCAACGUCAUCCAGUGCUCUUGGUACACAAGGAGUUUUUGAAAUGGAAUGCCAGGUGGUGGGAACACAACAAAUAAUCCGACACAACCCUGCUCUGGAGAACUUGGACUUCACUGGAGGAGACAGACUCAGAAAUGAAGACCUAGAAUUUGUGGGACCAGUCCGGGUGGCUGAGUCUACUGAGCAACCUGCGCACAUUCAAGGGCGGGGAGGAGGGUGAGCAGAAGAGGGGAGGUUCAGGAGGAGGGAGGAGCUCCUGUAAAGAUUCAGAGGCAAGAGGGAGUUGGCGCUUUCACAGAAUUACAUGCACAGCAGCGUGACUAGAGUAUACUGUGUGGAGAGAAAUGGCAAAACCCCAUCUCAUUCUGAUAGACCUGUCAGCCAUGGCCCUGACUCACACUCAGAUGAAACACUAAGACAGAACAGCCAGUCCUUACACACACGGAAACAGUUAAAUAAGCCAGGAGGGGCUGGGGACACACCUCAGGGCCUGCAAGGGUAGGAAGGUGAUGCCGCUGCCACUCUGGCACUGAAGGGGGCAGGGGAGGGGCACGGUUAUUAACAUCCAGAGAAAGCUGCCGCUGCACAUAGAGGGGCUGCAUGGAGAAGCUAUGGGUAGGACCUUGGGAAACGCACACAGUCACUGCUAGCCCCUUGCCCAGCAGGGAGAGUCAGAGCAGGGUGGGGAAGGGUCUAGAGUAUAUCUGCAUGGAGCAGAUUAUACCCGGUGUGGUAGAAAUCCUCAUUUUACUCCCCCAGCUUCCAUUAACUAAUCGUCUCUAUCGGAGACCACAAAUAUUCCACGAGGAGUUGUGACAGGGUGCAAAGGGGUAACUGUAAAUUCGAAAACAGAAUCCAGACCACAGAAAACAUUAACUAAAGGUCAAGCAGGGAGAAGGGGAGAAGAAGGCUGGACAAUAAAACAAAAAUGUGAGAUCA